AAAGAAAUCACUUCUACAGACCAGAAUGAUUGCUUCUGUUUGAGGCGGACAACUUUAAGACAGAGAAUGUCAAGUUCAAAUUUCUAAUUCAGGUAAAGGCUGAAAAUCAUGAAUUAUCGAAGUCUAAUUAUCUACAGUUGUUGAAAGACUAAAAUCAAACAGCAAGUUUGACCCUGCAGAUUGCUGAGUUACAAUGUCAUGGAUAUCACUGCUUUCCUAGGUCUCUUAUGUGACAGUGAGGGCAUGCGUCAGCAAGAGGUGAGCUCCCAGCAAAACACAGACCUAUGGGAAGAGUUGGAUGGUGUAUUAGUCUGGGUUCUCCAGAGAAAGGAUAGAUGAUAGAUAGAUAGAUAGAUAGAUAGAUAGAUAGAUAGAUAGAUAGAUAGAUAGAUAGGGAGAUAGGGAGAUAGAAAUAGAGAGAGACAGAAAGAGAGACAAGAUGGUGGUGGGGGGGGGAUUGAUUUGUUAUAAGGAAUUGGCUCACUUGAUUAUGGAGGCUGGGAAGUUCUAAAAUCUGCAGUCAGCAAGCUGGAGGACCAGGAGAGCCAGCAGUGUAAGUUCUAGUCUGAUUGAGGCACCAGAAGCCCCAUGUCUCUGCUCAAAGACAGGCAGAGAGAAUGAAUUCUCGCAUGCUGAGCCUUUUGAUCCUAUCCAGAGCUUCAGUGGAUUGGAUGAGGCCCACCCACAUUAGGGAAGGCAAUCUGCUUUACUUGGCCCAACGAUUCAAAUGUUAAUAUCUAGAAAUACUCACAGACAUACCACGGAAUAAUAUCUGACCAAAUAACUGGAUACCCUGCGGCCCAAUCAAGUUGACACAUAAAGUUAACUAUCAGAGAUGACUCAGAAUCCUCCAAGCCCUCAUUUUCCUCUGACCCUCCCUUGCUCUGCAAAGCAGCCCUUUUCCCCUCCCCGAUGAAGCUGUUUUUUCCCUACUGUAGGCUUUGCAACAACCUAGCAGGGAGCCUACUCUCCUCUUUCCCAGUUGCACUCAUGUCUCCACCCCUGCCAGGUUCUAUAUCUAGAGUCAUAGCCCAGAACAUAUCAGUGGGCCAAUUACAAAGUUAAACCUAGGAAGGGAUGAUUUCCACGCCAAAUGGAAUUUUAAGAACUAGCUAAUUAUUUCAGCAAAAUCUAGUAAAGAUCAAUGGCAAGGAAUUCUGAAUAUACAAGAUCAAGGAAAGAGGAACAUAAUUCUAAAUGAGACUGAAUUUGUUAAUAUGUAUGAACCCACCAGCAUAUGGAGGUUCCCAGGCUAGGGGUCUAAUCGGAGCUGUUGCUGCCGGCCUAGGCCAGAGCCACAGCAAUGCCAGGUCCAGGCCACAUCUGCAACCUACACCACAGCUCACAGCAACUCCGGAUCCUUAACCCACAGAGUGAGACCAGGGAUGGAACCCGCAACCUCAUGGUUCCUAGUCAGAUGCAUUUCCACUGCACCGUGAUGGGAACUCCUAACUU
rnacentral:lncRNA from 1 species